CGGGCCUACGGGGGGCAGCAGUGGGGAAUAUUGCACAAUGGGGGAAACCCUGAUGCAGCGACGCCGCGUGAGUGAAGAAGUAUUUCGGUAUGUAAAGCUCUAUCAGCAGGGAAGAAAAAAGACGGUACCUGACUAAGAAGCCCCGGCUAACUACGUGCCAGCAGCCGCGGUAAUACGGAGGGGGCAAUCGUUAUCCGGAUUUAGUGGGUGUAGAGGGAGCGCAGACGGGAUGGCAAGUCUGAAGUGAAAGCCCAG
rnacentral:rRNA from 1 species